GACGCAAGACGCACGAAACUGACCCGUGUCUGGGCUUGUGCUUCCGGUGGAUGCUGUGGGGGCCUGUGUGCUCGGGUCAGGCGGGCAGAUGGCGCUAUAAGGACACAAGACCCACCUCCUAUGCGGGUUGGAACCUCUGGAAGGCCUGGGUCCCCAGGCACUUGGGGAAGUGUAGAGUGGCCGGCAGCCAGGCGGCGGCAACUGCGCGGUUAGAAUCAGAAAAGAAAUUAUGUAUAAUUUGUUCCUCUUCAAAAAAGACAAGAUACAACAGAGCUAAGAUAAUGAAGAAAAUGUUGGACAGAAUCUAGGAAUGAAUAUAAGGAGAUCGGACUCCUAUUGUUAUCCCAAAGGACCUUGGACUACACUGUCGAGAAGCAUGGAAGAAAGCAGGACAAAUGGUCAGAAGUUUACUGCAGAGAAUGAGGCAAGAAAUGAUGGUGAAAGACCAGAGUGGUAGCAGUGGAGAAGGUCGCCACACUCCAGGCCCAGUUGAUAAAGCUCUCACUGGCUUUCUUCUACCACAGAGAGCAAGGUGAGACGGUGAGAUCGGGGGACUACGGAUUGCCCAGAAAACCUCCAAUGCUCCUUCUGCCUGGAAAGCUUCUCCCUAACAUUUAUUUUUAUUUAAUGUCUUUUCCAAAACAGUAUAAAAGGUCAUAUGCAAUUUUUCCAGAUCUUGAUGCCAUGGGUAGGAAUCAAUUUUACAAAUAUAUUGAUUUGGUCUUCAUUUAGAUUUAAAUGAGUUAUUGUUUCCAGGCUACUUUUAAAACAUUCUUUUCUUUUCUAGUUUUUCUAGAAGGAAAAAUUAGUAAACUUUCAGGAAUUCAAAAAUGGUUCUCCACAUAUAUCCUAGCAUGAACUAUUCCUUACUUAAGAUGCUGAUUCCUGAAGUGGUUUUUCUUGAUCAAAAGUAAUUUUUAAGGGUUUUGAAUUCCUUCAUUGUGACAGGUUUAAAUUGCUUGAACCUCAAACAGAUUUUUUUCCUUCUGUUUUGUUUCUUCUGUCAUUUUAGCAUCUAGCCUUCAUCAUAAAGCGGCAGACUUAGGGUAAACAGAGCAACACGUAAUUUUAAGCCAAUGACAGCAAUCAAAGGCAACUUACACAGAGACUGCAGAAAGCUGCUGGAAGGCCUUUUCUUUUUCCAUAUUUCUUCUUUCUCCAUUACUCAAAAUGUGUGAACAGGGGGCCUUCACUCUCUGUGUUUUAAACAUUGGCAAAGAGAAUCUUGCAAGUCAAAUACAUACGGCACCAUCCUGUAAUGUAGCUCCAGUGCAGUUUCCAAUUUGAAACUGAUUAUGGUGGUAUAAAUUUGUAUGCCUAUAGUACUUACUGCUGACACUUGGAGGACAAAAUCCUUUUUGAUAAGUGACCUGGUCUUACUUUCAUAUUCUUGACAUUAUGAGAUUUUUAGAUAAUUUUUUAGACUCCUGGUAUAAACAAGGGAUUUGGCUGACCAGUCCUUGGGGAGCCAACAUUCAAUAGAAUAGUGAAUUCCCAUUUUGUCUCUGGGUAAUGUGUACCAACUACUUUCCUGUGGGAGGGUUUCCUCUAUUAUUUUGAAUUAUUUGGCCCUUUUGAAAAUGAAGAAAAUCACUUAUUUUCAGUCACAUACUAAUCACUCUGAAUACAUUGCUAAACUAUUGUUUUUCAAAAAAUUUGGUCCCUUUAUGUCCAUAAUUUGAGCAUUUAAAAAACUCAGAAGUAUCUUGCCUAUAUUAAACUUCAAACUGAAGUUAUGCCUUGAAAAAGUUUUUGUCUUCCUCUCUCAAGAUUUAUAACAGUUUUUCUUUGUAUUCCCAUUGCUUUAAAACUUGUCACAAUAAAACAGAAUACACAACUGUUCUGGUAUGGCACAAGAAUGGUUUCCUAUGAUUCCCUUAAUUUUAGGAUGUGGCUUGACUGUUUUGGCAAGCAGGACAAAUAAUUGAGGGCAUCUUUUCUUUUUUGAGGGCGUCUGUAUUGCUUUGGGCUGAUAAUAGAAACUGUAGAGAGACUUCCCCACAGCAAAUGCCAUUUGUUAAUUAAGUGCAUAGGGAGGCAAUAUGGGACCUUGUGAACUGCAUCAUUGAAAGAAUCACCUCUAAAUACACGAAAUUAGCAGCACCAAGUUCUUUGUAGUCAGUUGUCAAUCCUCAUUUACUGACAGAGGUUAAAUUCUUUAAUGGAGAAAAAGCCAAAAAUUUUGGCUGGUCCAUUAUGGUGAUUCUAGCAGACACUUGAAGUUCUAAUUUCUAGUACCAGCCAACAUGGGCAAAAGGUAGCCAAGAUGGAUAACUUGGGUCUUUAGAAGGCCUCUCUUGACUGACUGAAAGAGUGAUUUAACAAAUGAGUUGCAGAGAAAGACCACACAGCCUCUCUCUAGUCUACAAACUCCCACCCUCCUAACAUCCCCUAGUGGGUUCACAGUGCCUACUUUUUCAGUUAGACUGAGGAAACUGCCAAGGCUUGAACUGCAGAAAUCAGUAUUUGAGUAAUGAGUAACUCAAUUCUACUUAGCUUUGGGAUGUAGCCAGCUUUGCCCCAACUUGGCAGGCCUUUGAACAUUCUUUUUGAGUCAUAUAUUGCAACUGUAACUCAGUCAAACACACUGACACAAUUCUAUGUUUUGUGAAUUCCACUCAGAGGAUGAUUUUAUUUUAGCUGAUCCCAUCAGUGUGUUAGAAAUGUACACUAUAGAAUGUUUAUGUAUUAAUUUAUAUGCAUUUUAUAAUUGAAAGCAGUUGUUUUCACAUGGCUUUAUGUUUCUUGCUUUCAUAAAGUCCCCAGUGAGUUAUUAAACCAAAUCUAAUAUCCUUAUCACUGUGGGGGCCUAUUUGUAGCAAUUGAUACUAUAGAUCAAGGGACUGAGAAUGGGGUCCAUAGGUUAGAGUUAAUGUUGCUAGUUAAUUGUUUAAAUAAGGAUGUGUGAUAUAGAGUGAUGAAUGAGAGCCUUCAUUUGAAAACAGUGGACUCUUAUUGAUUUGGGCUUAAGCAGGAGAAGCCUGAUUACUAUCAGGCAUGUUUCAUUUAGCAAAGAAUAUGGAGUUUAAAGAAAAGUUGAAUAUGCAAAGUGGCAGUGAUGAGUCUGGCAGUUACAGUAAGAACACCUUAAGGGAGGAUGUAUUAGAAAUCAAAGUUUCUGUUAUCUUUUAUCAUAUUGUGGUUUUAGGUUUUAAGUUUGGACUGAAGAUGUAAUUUUUACCAUUUCUUUAUGAUAUGUGUUCAUAUAAUAAAGGGGAUAUAAUCCACUAAGAAUUAAUAGGAUGUUAUUUUCCCAUAAAAAGGGUAAUGCCUGAUUUGUAAUAUUCUCUCUGUCAUUUCUAUUAUAUGCCUCUACUUAAUGAAAUGAUCAAGACCCUCUAAAUAAAUGGAAAACCUGGAAGGUGGUUAAAUUAAAUGAGCAAUACAUGCUGAAUCUCAGAGGAAGGAAUAUUUGCACAUCAUUUACCCUUUUGAGGGAGGGCAUGGAGAAAUGGACCCAGGUGGCAUUAUAGCAGUGAUUCUCAAAGUGAGGUCUGAGAGCCAGUGAAUUAGUUACUAUGGCAGCUUGUAAAACAAGCAUAUUUCUAAACUCUACCACAGACAUGCUGAAUCAGAUUCUCUGAGGGAUGAGUUCAGGAAACUGAUUGUUUCAAAAACUUGCCAGAAAAUUCUAAUGCCUACUCAAAGUUAGUGAUGUACCCCCAAAAACAGUGUUUGGCUCCAUAUCAAGCUGGCCCCAAUCAGGCCUAAUUUCUAGCUGAAUCCCAAGGAUUUUGCAAAAGUUUUUGAGAAUGCAGUAUAUGUCUAUGGAUAGGUAUGAAUUUGAGUACUCUGAAUUUGCAUCAACAGAUGCAAAUACCAAUUUAUUUCCUCUAAUUAGAAUUUCUUAGUUUAGUCAGAAA